CACGAACGCUGGCGGCAGGCUUAACACAUGCAAGUCGAGCGCCCCGCAAGGGGAGCGGCAGACGGGUGAGUAACGCGUGGGAAUCUACCCAUCUCUACGGAAUAACGCAUGGAAACGUGCGCUAAUACCGUAUACGUCCUUCGGGAGAAAGAUUUAUCGGAGAUGGAUGAGCCCGCGGUGGAUUAGCUAGUUGGUGGGGUAAAGGCCUACCAAGGCGACGAUCCAUAGCUGGUCUGAGAGGAUGAUCAGCCACACUGGGACUGAGACACGGCCCAGCCUCCUACGGGAGGCAGCAGUGGGGAAUAUUGGACAAUGGGCGAAAGCCUGAUCCAGCCAUGCCGCGUGAGUGAUGAAGGCCCUAGGGUUGUAAAGCUCUUUCACCGGUGAAGAUAAUGACGGUAACCGGAGAAGAAGGCCCGGCUAACUUCGUGCCAGCCGCCGCAGUAACAC
rnacentral:rRNA from 1 species